rnacentral:rRNA from 1 species
UACGUAGGUGGCGAGCGUUGUCCGGAUUUACUGGGCGUAAAGAGCGCGCAGGCGGUCGUACAAGUCGCGUGUGAAGGCCCCCGGCUCAACUGGGGAGGGUCACGCGAUACUGUUCGACUCGAAGGCAGGAGAGGGUAGUGGAAUUCCCGGUGUAGUGGUGAAAUGCGUAGAUAUCGGGAGGAACACCAGUGGCGAAGGCGACUACCUGGCCUGUUCUUGACGCUGAGGCGCGAAAGCUAGGGUAGCAAACGGG